GACGAACGCUUGCGACGUGCCUGAGAAAUGCAAGUCGAGCGGUAGACGGUCUUUCGGGAUUGUCUAUAGCGGCGAACGGUCGAGUAACACGUAACCAACCUGCCUUCCUGUCUGGGAUAGCCCUUCGAAAGAGGGAGUAAUACCGGAUGGUCUCCUGUGAAGACAUCUUUAUGGGAGUAAAGGCUUGUAUGCGGGAAGAGGGGUUGCGUCCUAUCAGCUGGUUGGGCGGGGUAACGGCCCACCAAGGCGGACGACGGGUAGCUGGUCUGAGAGGAUGAUCA
rnacentral:rRNA from 1 species